CAGUAGCCACGGGAAUACGAGGGGGGCAAGCGUUGUUCGGAAUUAUUGGGCGUAAAGGGCGCGUAGGCGGUUUGACAAGUCUUAUGUGAAAUCUCUGGGCUCAACCCAGAGUCUGCAUGGGAAACUGUCGGGCUUGAGUAUGGGAGAGGUGAGUGGAAUUUCCGGUGUAGCGGUGAAAUGCGUAGAUAUCGGAAGGAACACCUGUGGCGAAAGCGGCUCACUGGACCAUAACUGACGCUGAGGCGCGAAAGCUAGGGGAGCAAACAGGAUUAGAUACCCCAGUAGUCCCUGUCUCUUAUAC
rnacentral:rRNA from 1 species